GAUGAACGCUAGCGGCAGGCUUAACACAUGCAAGUCGAGGGGUAACAGGGUUGCUUGCAAUCGCUGACGACCGGCGCACAGGUGCGUAACGCGUAUAGAACCUACCUUUUACUGAGGGAUAGCCUUUAGAAAUGAAGAUUAAUACCCCAUAGAUCUUGAUCAUCGCAUGAUGCAUCAGGAUAAAGAUUGAUUGGUAAAAGAUGGCUAUGCGUCUUAUUAGCUAGAUGGUAAGGUAACGGCUUACCAUUGCAACGAUAAGUAGGGCCCGGAGAGGGGAUCCCCACACUGGUACUGAGACACGGA
rnacentral:rRNA from 1 species